rnacentral:Y_RNA from 1 species
GGCUGGCCCGAGCGCUGUGGUGUUUACAACUAAUUGAUCACAACCAGUUACAGGUUGCUUUGUUCCUUCUCCACUCCCACUGCUUCACUUGACCAGCUUACA